UACGGAGGGGGCUAGCGUUGUUCGGAAUUACUGGGCGUAAAGCGCGCGUAGGCGGCUUUGUAAGUUAGAGGUGAAAGCCCGGAGCUCAACUCCGGAACUGCCUUUAAGACUGCAUCGCUAGAAUUGUGGAGAGGUGAGUGGAAUUCCGAGUGUAGAGGUGAAAUUCGUAGAUAUUCGGAAGGACACCAGUGGCGAAGGCGACUCACUGGACACAUAUUGACGCUGAGGUGCGGAAGCGUGGGGAGCAAACAGG
rnacentral:rRNA from 1 species